CUUUCAAAAUCCAACAUAGCAGGAGAAACAACUGUUUUCUAAUUCUAAAAAGAAAACAUAUGCUCAAAAAAAUCAUGCAGAUAGAAGCAUAAUACCAUGUCGUGGUACACCAGCCCGGUAUCUUUUAAUAAUACAAUUUAUGCCUAACUCAGCAAGGGAACCUGGGAGAGUGGAUCAAUUUCUCUUUCUGACACUCCUACUAAAGGCGUCCGUGGAAAGUAGGUUAAUAGAUUUCCCCCAGUGUAAUCAGAAUGUGGAAACAAAACUGAACUGUUUUGAAGCAAAAUAAAGACUAAAACCAGCUAGAUUCUUGCCUGCUAAAUUCAGGAUUUAAAAUUUUAUGAACCAAACCAUUUUCUUAAUAGCAUACUUCAUUAGAGAACUGUUAGAGUUAUUUAUAAAACAUGGAGGUCCCUUUUUUAAUAUAGCGUGGGUAAGCUUGUAACACUCGGGUGGCGUGUAUGUUUUCAUGCGAUGUGUGCAUUACCUCCACAAGGAAAGCGUUUGUUCCCUUCUUUUCAAACACGAAUCCCUGCCGUCUCUCUGCAUUUUCGUCCCUCAUGGAGAACGGCGGCCUCCGGUUCUUCAGUUCUCUCUUUGUUUAUGCUAAUGUAAUAAACUGUCCCUAGGGAGUUCUGGCUAAACAUAAUAUUAAAUAGUCAGCAACGUAAUCAAUUAUUUUACCAGCAGGCAUGUCUUGUUUACUUAAUCUCUCUUUUGAAAACAGUCGUUUCUCGAAAAGCGUUUCAUACCUUCCUUAUUUUGACAGCAUCAGGAAGCUCCACUGUUAAUCAGAAGCGUGUUAAAUCAAACAGACCUACAGAAAGUCAGCAGCCAAGAUUUGUCAGCUGGAUCGACUUAUACAGCGUAAAGCUGUAAAAACAUUUUAUAGGAGAGAAAACCAUAUAGCAGCCCUGUGAGCGCAGACUGUGUGACAAACCUCAACCCAGAUGAAUCCAGACAGCGAAUCAGGCAUUAAAUACCCAAUUUCAUUUUAAUACAUUAUUUUUAUAGGACAGGAGUACUUGGAAAUUAAACACUAAUGAUAGGAAAGUAUAUUAAGAAUUAAUGAGUGUGUAGAAAAGAUAAAGAGGCAAUGAUUCUGAAUCACUAAAUGUAUUGGUUGAUUUAUUGUGACAGGUGCAGCUUAGUUUUAAUAAUUUCAAAUAACACUUCGUCAUAGGGUUCUGAAAGUCCUGCUGUGUGUGUGUAUGUGUAUAGUAAUAAAAUCUUGGUAAUAUGAGUUUCACUUGAAAUCUUAGAGGCUAAAUCUUCAUUAAGAGUAAGUUGUUCUUCAGGUUUGUAUGUCAGUGAGGCAAAAUUAUGCAGGUCUCUUCUACUUUAUGAUUUGAUUUUUUGAUCAUCAUUAUUUAUCUCAAGUUCAGAAUACAAAUUUUUCUGAAGAGAACACUGAGAAUUUAUCUGCCAGAUAAUAAUUCAAGCUCUGGUGCCAAGUUUUUAUAUGACUUCAAUAUGUCACUCUGCUUUCUGUCUCAGUUUCCCGAGGAUGCAAAAUAGGUAAAGUAAUUUCCCAUUGAGAGAAUUAAUUAAUAUCUGUAAAGAACCUUAAGAUCUCUUUAUGAAAGAACUCUUCAUGAGGGAAAUGUUAUGCUCAGGAGAUAAAAGAGCAAAGACUGUAGAUUUCAAACACUGUGGAAGUUAUUGAAGAAUAAAAAACACCAGAGGGAUAUAAUUAUCUACAGAAAGACAUAGAUCACCAGACAGACGAUAAUACAGUGAUGAAAGACAUAUUAAAAGGGAGUGUGACGAAGCCUUUGGGGAAUUAGGCACCAAGUCAUCAGCAAGAUUACUCAGACUCAUAUUGUAAAAACUCUAAAUCAAAUAAGAUUCUGAAGACUGAAUGAAAUGAGAUCAGGUAAGUCACAAUCUUCUAGUAAUCCCCCCGAACCUUUUCAUGACUCAUGCUUUCUUUGUAACUCUAAUGCCUCUUCUAUGUACCAUAAUUGAUGCUGCAUUAUUGAUUCAGAUAACCCUUUCCAUCCUUCCUUCUAGACCUGAAGAGCCAGAUAAUUGAGGAAUAGAGGUUGAAUCCUUCUCUCCAUCACUUUGCCUCGUUCCUUCCCUCUUUGCCUCCUUGCAUUUGGUUUGCAGGGUAAGAGAGGAACAUUCCAUCUAAGGUUGUCUACGUAACUUCAGUCUAAAUACAACUUCACUCUGUGCUUGAUAACUCGCACUCAAAAAAAUGGCUUGGCAUUUUUACACAUGCACAGCCCAUUUUGCGCAGAAAGCAUCCAACUUUCGCAAAGUAGUGGGAAAUAUCACGUUUCAUUUGGUCCAGGACAAACAGCUGAAGCCAAAAGAUUCUUUCUGAAGAGGACCUUGAGAGUUUGGUUCCUGGAUGAUAAUUCCAGCUCUGAUGGUAAUUUCCUGCUUGGCAUCCACCAUCCUCUGCAUAGAGACAUGUGGUGAGCCACUAGGGAGACUGUGGUCUGAUGGGACCCUGUGGUCCUAGAGGUGCCUCAGGACUUGUCUUUCUUCCAGGAGUGCUUAUCAUUUUUUAGCGAUAGGCAAUUAGGAAUUCUCAAAUAAUAAGUCAUUUGAGCAUGAAAAAAAAGUUUCCCUGGAAUAAAUCCCAGUUUCUUGGACUGUGGUCGGUCACCUGCAAAUGAGGCAAUUCUCACAGUUUUCAGGUGAGGGAGUGUGGUCUAAGGCUGAGAUUCCCAGUUCUCAGCUCCGACGGUGAUGGCACUGUGGAGGACACAAAAAUUGCAUGACACCAAUUCUGCCCUCAAAAAAUGUACAGUCUUAUGGAAGAGAAAGACAUGUACUUAAAUAAAUGUAACGUAACAAAGAAGGCUUAAUGCUUACCCCAGAGUUGGGAAAUGUGUUUGAUAUUUCUUGUUUACCACUUUAUUGCAAAACAAAGAAGAGAAUCCAAGAACUGCCUCAGUUCUUCUAUUUCAUUUCACUCCCAAAGACUUGAUUUUAAAUCUUCAUGAAAUUAUCUUUUCAAAAUGGAACUAGUAUUACUGUUUUUCUGAUCAUAAAAGUAAUACAUAGAAAAGCGUUGACUAUCUCAGGAGUAUUAGGGAAGACAGAGGUAACAGUCAUUGCCUUCUGGAAGGAAACAUGGAGGGAGGGAGCUUUAAUUUUUAUUGUUUACUCUGUAGUAUCCCUCAAAUUUUGUAGCAUGUGCAAGUAUUAUCUGCUAAAAAUAAAUAUUUUUCUAAAUUAAUAGAUACAUGUUGUAAAAUACAUCAUAUGAUAUAUGGAAAGUUAUAAAGUAGAAAAUGAAAUUAUGCAUAAUGCCACCAUGAAGUUACA